rnacentral:lncRNA from 1 species
UACCAUCAAAGAGGCUCCAGUGGUCAAGAGCAGGAGGGUGAGAGACCCCUUCAGGGACCUCAGGACCCCCGGUGAAGCAAGAUGUAAACAUCUCUUAUCUGGACAGUCAGAUCAUAUUUAUUCUCCAAGAUUGUGAAUAUCUGAUUCAUCCCUACAUACAGCCUUAAUGGCUAAACCUUCGGUCUCCAUUGCGGAAGGCACAGCCACAGUAGGAAAUACCACUUUGGCUUCUGUACCCUGGCUGGAACAAUAAUUCCACACCUGUUA